rnacentral:rRNA from 1 species
GACGAACGCUGGCGGCGUGCUUAACACAUGCAAGUCGAACGGAAAGGCCCUGCUUGUGUGGGGUGCUCGAGUGGCGAACGGGUGAGUAACACGUGAGUAACCUGACCUUGACUUUGGGAUAACUUCAGGAAACUGGGGCUAAUACAGGAUAGGAGCUUAUGCUGCAAGGUGGGGGUUGGAAAGUUUCGGCGGUUGGGGAUGGACUCGCGGCUUAUCAGCGUGUUGGUGGGGUAGUGGCUUACCAAGGCUUUGACGGGUAGCCGGCCUGAGGGGAUGACCGGCCGCAAUGGCACUGAGGUACGACCAAGACUCCUACGGAGGACAACAGUGUAGAGUUUUGCACAAUAUGCGGAAGCCUGAUGCAGCAGCGCCACGAGCGGAAUAACGGCCUUCUGGUUGUGAACCGCUUUCGCCUGUUACGAAGCGUCAUUGACGCUAAUAGGUAAGAAAGCACCGGCUAACUACGUG